UACGAGGGGGGCAAAUGUUGUUCGGAAUCACUUGGGCGUAAAGGGAGCGUAGGCGGGUUUCUAAGUCAGGUGUUUAAUCCCGGGGCCCAACCCCGGACAGGCACUUGAAACUGGGAAUCUUGAAUAGUGGAGAGGUCAGUGGAAUUGGGGGUGUAGGCGGUGGAAUGCGUAGAGAUCCCCAAGAACACCAGUUGCGAAGGCGGCUGACUGGACACAUAUUGACGCUGAGGCUCGAAAGCAUGGGGAGCAA
rnacentral:rRNA from 1 species